UACGUAGGGGGCAAGCGUUGUCCGGAAUUAUUGGGCGUAAAGAGCGCGUAGGCGGUCUGAUAAGUCGGUUGUGAAAGUCGGGGGCUCAACCCUCGAAUGCCGGUGGAUACUGUCGGGCUAGAGUGCGGAAGAGGCGAGUGGAAUUCCUGGUGUAGCGGUGAAAUGCGCAGAUAUCAGGAGGAACACCUAUUGCGAAGGCAGCUCGCUGGGACGUAACUGACGCUGAGACGCGAAAGCGUGGGGAGCAAACAGG
rnacentral:rRNA from 1 species